GUGUCUAUUGCUUCCUGUGGAAUCUGCGACUUGUUCGACGGCGUUCCUUUUACAGCUUGCCGCCAAGCAUCGUGAAAGAGAGCAUCGGUUGGCGAUUCCCACCAGCACGGCAAAAAGGCCCCGCGAAGCGUACGAGAAUAUGCAGGCCGCCAUAUCGUUUUCCGCAUACAGUGUCCACGAGCAGCGAGACAUAGAGACACCUGCCAUCCUACAAGUCCGUCAAGUCCCAGUAGUACAGAAAAAUCAAUAAGCAGUACCCGACACUGCGCUGCAUAGGAGAUCCGGCACCAGCGUGGCAUGAGCUUUCGCAGACCUGGGAGUCCUGGAACAGUAUACAUACCUGAUCGACAGCUACGUCCUCUUCGAACAGACACAGCCUCCAUUUCUUAUAAUGGCGUCAUCGCUAGACAUGCACACGUUGCAUAAGUCUAAGCAUUGGGUCUGUGACGGGACCUUUGACUAUUGCUCUCCAGUGUUCAGUCAGCUCUACAGCAUACAUGGUAUCGUGCGAGGAGAGGGACUGCCUCUCGUCGUUGGAUUGCUACCAGACAAGACGCAAACAAGCUAUUCGAAGUCUUUUUAUGUAUUGCGCUCUGCCCUGGUGCUGACAUGUGGUGACGUCGGGGAACUUGAGGUGGGACAUUUCGACUUUGAGAUGACCGACAUCGCUUCAUUUGAAGCUGAAUUUCCUGGGGCACUGUCGAAGGGAUGCCUCUUCCAUUUCGCUCAAGGCAUCACACGCAAGGUGGCUCAACUAGGUCUACGGGUGCUCUAGGGGGAUCCCCAGCGACCAGACCUCAAGAGGUGGGCUCGCAGGCUUGUGAGUCUCGCCCUGCUCCCGGAGCCUCUCGUGGUUCCCCACUGGGUGACGUCAUUCAGAAGUCUGACAUCGACCACCGGAACCCCGAGGAUGGACGCAGCCAUCACCAAGCUCGCUGACUACUUUCAAAGUCAGUGGCUGCAUUCAAAGCGGCAGGUCAGCCUCUGGAACCACAACAGGGACUAAGACCACCUCCGGGGAACCACGUGGAAGGUUAACGUCGAUCGCUAGGUUCGCGCUCUUAGUGCCAACCGAGGAUGUCCCGCGGGAAGUUAUGGCGGAGUUUCAGCGAAAUAUCCACCAUAUGACUCAGAUGAAGAUCCGCCAGCUGGAGAAUGGGAAGACGCCAAACUCAUCCAGACCGAACUAAGUGGCCAGUAAUGAGGCCAUCCGGACGCACAAGCAAAGCCUCCAGAGGCAGUGGAUGCUACUGAGCGCAGCCAUGGGAGGUGGACCGCCAUCCAUUGCCAGCAGAUAGCAGCUGUUCGAGCAAAACGUCAACGCGUUUAGGUUGCUUUGUCUGUAUAUCGUGUUACUUUAUAUUUAUCAUGCCUCCCACUGUUGUCAAGCUCCGGAGACAAUAUUUACUUGCCCCUUUUUUACCAGUAUUUUACAUUUUGCGCACGAAUGUUCAGGCACAAUUAUCUCUUUAUUUUGUAAUUUAAGUUGAAUAAAUAAGCAGUCCGAUCCAAUCCAAUUACUGCCGUCGCGGCCUCCGUCGCUUUGCUUGCGCGGCCUGUUCGGAAACCCUGCCGUCGCGUCCCCGCCCCGGCGUGCUCCCGUGACGGUGCCGGGAUGGGAGGGACGCCGGCUGUGUGAAUGAGGUCUAACGGGACACCCGCACCUCAAAGGGGGCUCCCCGCCUCGCGCACAAACUUCUCCCUUCCAGAGGUCGUAAACAUCCACGAGCGAACCCCACAAGAGUCCCCAAAACUUUUCGCGCAGGGCCUCCGGGCGA